AGCAGGAUAGAAAGUGAGAGUCGUGAGCAACUUAUUUGACCUCUUCUUCAGCGUUAUGGCAAAUGUAUUAGCAUAUUUCAUUUGUGAAUAGUUGGACGACGAGGAUAGUCGGCAUUUAGCCUCAAAAUACUCGUUAAUCAAAAAAAGAGCGUAAAAAUCCCUAGAGGACUGUUGUCUUCUAGGGAUUUAGUGU
rnacentral:sRNA from 1 species